rnacentral:rRNA from 1 species
UACGAAGGUGGCAAGCGUUGUUCGGAAUUAUUGGGCGUAAAGGGCGCGUAGGCGGACUUGUAAGUCGAUUGUGAAAUCCCUGGGCUUAACCCGGGAAUUGCAGUCGAAACUGCAUGUCUUGAAUGCUCGAGAGGAUGGUAGAAUUCCUGGUGUAGAGGUGAAAUUCGUAGAUAUCAGGAGGAAUACCGGAGGCGAAAGCGGCCAUCUGGCGAGACAUUGACGCUGAGGCGCGAAAGCGCGGGGAUCAAACAGG